AAAUUAUAGCCCCAACCGAGUAUGAUGAAUUCUUCAGUCUGCUUUAGAUUCUCCUGCGGUUCGGUGUGAAAAUUGAAAAUUCUCCGAGUCAUUGAAAAAACUACGCAUUCAGAGUGUCUGAAAUUGCAUUUUAAAAAUAGCCAUUUUCUAGUUUAAGAAAAUUUCAUAGUAACGGUACACGACGAAUAAAUAGAGCAAACCCAAAAAUAAAUUCAUUUUGAGUUAAUAUGGCCACCAACAUAUCAGAAAUAAGAUAGAACUCACAACACGUUUUGAAAUCUACAAAAAAAAAAAAAAAA
rnacentral:sRNA from 1 species